rnacentral:lncRNA from 1 species
CUUCCCCUCCCUCUAUUUGCAUAGCCAAUAGCUCUGGGGCUCUCGCUGCUGCGCGCUGAUUGUUACCGGGCAGAUUAUAUUUUAAGGACGCCUGCUGCCCGGCAUCCAGAGCGGCCCCGGGGGUACGGGGGCGAAGAGCAGCCCCCUCACCUGGCCUCCUCGGGCGAGGGGGGGCAGCGCUGCCCCCUCCCAGCCCGGCCGUCGCCCCUCUGCAGAGCAACGGGAGGGAUGGGACCGUCUCUGCCUCUCCCCCCCCCUCCCCGCCGGGUGCAUCUCCCCGCCCGUCGGGGCAAACGUGGCUUUUUGGCUACCAAAAAGCUGCCGGGACUCCCUGCCCCGCGUCCCCUGGCCGGGUGACGCCGCCUGGAGCCGGCUCUCCAAGGCGCUGGUACCGGCGUUGCCCUGCAAGAAGGGCCGCACGCCCCUCGCCCCGUCCCAUCCCGUCCUUGCAGCGCUGCGUGUGGCCCCUCGCCCCCUCCGCCCCUUCGAGGCGAGGGCCCGUCGGGGCCGGGCCAGGCUCAGUGGGGACGGGGGCGCCUUUUGGGAAGGCGGGGGGGGGGCUGCCUGGGGGGUACCCCCCGCCGUACGUCGGUCAGGGACCCUCAGCAGCGCGGCGUGCCCCGCAAUGAAAGGCUCUUUAACUUCCACCAUUCAUUUCCCCUUCCUGGCUGCUCCUGCGAACAGGGAGCGUGUUGUGGCAGCGCACGUUUUUCCUUCUCCAAACUUUAAAUUCAACCAUCUUGAAGAUGCUUCCAGGGACAGCAUCGGAACAAGCUUUGCAUCUGAAGCGCAGACCAAUAGCAAUGGUGUGUGUGCGCCAGUGGAAAAGUUGGUUUUUGAAGGAGAAAUGUGAAAGAGCAAGAACCGUUCUGAUGAGUUACAGGUAUGGACAGUUGAUAUUUCUUUUAUCAUUAGCAGUAGUACGAAGGGGAUUCAUGGCAACAGAAUCUUUUUUUUUUCUUUGCUCUGCUUUUGAAUUAUUUUGCACUAUUCUACUUGAAAUUUACUUUGCUGUUAUUAACUUCUUGCAUUCCAUUAUGUGAUUUCCCUGCCCUCUGGGUUGUUCUUAGUUCAAAGAUGAUUUCAACAUUAAAUGCUCAAUCUUAUUUUCUUCCCAGACUAUAAUGAGAGAUUAAUAAAAGACUCAGUCCCCAAACCUUCUUCUGAUCU